rnacentral:rRNA from 1 species
CCUACGGGAGGCAGCAGUGGGGAAUAUUGGGCAAUGGGCGCAAGCCUGACCCAGCAACGCCGCGUGAAGGAAGAAGGCUUUCGGGUUGUAAACUUCUUUUGUCAGGGAAGAGUAGAAGACGGUACCUGACGCAUCAGCCACGUCUAACUACGUGCCAGCAGCCGCGGUAAUACGUAGGUGGCAAGCGUUGUCCGGAUUUACUGGGUGUAAAGGGCGUGUAGCCGGGUUGACAAGUCAGAUGUGAAAUCCUGCGGCUUAACCGCAGAACUGCAUUUGAAACUGUUGAUCUUGAGUACUGGAGAGGCAGACGGAAUGCCUAGUGUAGCGGUGAAAUGCGUAGAUAUUAGGAGGAACACCAGUGGCGAAGGCGGUCUGCUGGACAGCAACUGACGGUGAGGCGCGAAAGCGUGGGGAGCAAACAGGAUUAGAUACCCCAGUAGUC